rnacentral:rRNA from 1 species
AUUGAACGCUGGCGGCAGGCCUAACACAUGCAAGUCGAACGGUAACAGGAAACAGCUUGCUGUUUCGCUGACGAGUGGCGGACGGGUGAGUAAUGUCUGUGACACUGCCUGAUGGAGGGGGAUAACUACUGGAAACGGUAGCUAAUACCGCAUAUCGUCGCAAGACCAAAGAGGGGGACCCUCGGGCCUCUUGCCAUCCGAUGUGCCCAGAUGGGAUUAGCUUGUUGGUGGGGUAACGGCUCACCAAGGCGACGAUCCCUAGCUGGUCUGAGAGGGUGACCAGCCACACUGGAACUGAGACACGGUCCAGACUCCUACGGGAGGCAGCAGUGGGGAAUAUUGCACAAUGGGCGCAAGCCUGAUGCAGCCAUGCCGCGUGUAUGAAGAAGGCCUUCGGGUUGUAAAGUACUUUCAGCGGGGAGGAAGGGAGUAAAGUUAAUACCUUUGCUCAUUGACGUUACCCGCAGAAGAAGCACCGGCUAACUCCGUG